rnacentral:lncRNA from 1 species
CUCAGAAAUUACAUAGCAUUUGUCAAGGAUAUAAGAGGGACUGUGCCACAUCUGGCUGUAUAGAAGGUGGUUCCAUAUCUUUAAAUAGAGCCCCAGGUCCUUAGCCACCAGAAAGGUUUUCAGGGGAAGUGUGCACCCUCAGCAGCUGCUGCUGGUGAGCAGCAUGGGCACACAUGGAACAGGCUUUCCUCUGUGGCCAGGUGAGAAGCAGGUGGUGAGACACAGAGCAGUGCUGGGCUCUGCUUCUGAAGCCUCCAACCUUUCCUUCCCUAGGAAGCCCCAGAGAGAUUGGUGAGGGUGAUUUCCCAGGAAGACGCAGUGUGCUCUGACUUCUGUGACAGUGAGCAACGGGACCAGUGGAUGUCCAGAUGCUGGCAAUGAGACAUACUCUGGAGUCAGAAGACAGCGAAAAGAGAAGCAGAAGCCCCGGUGGCAAGAGUCUGAAGGAAGGAUGACUGUAGCCUGUGGAUUGUACUGCAGUAGGAAACUGUCCUAGCAAGGCUCCACCUUGCCCCAGCUUCAAGCUGGAAAGGAGGAGAACAUGAAACAUUGCUUGAAGACAAUGGCCGAGACAGCAGGUCCCACCCUGCACAGCCAACAGCAUCUCUCCCCUCAGCCCUGUCUCCUCUUCUGCAGUUGGGAUCUGCACAUUUAAGCCUGAAGUGUUGUGGGAUGUAUCUUGCACUGGGGCCAGGCAGCUGACCAGAGCCACCCACAAGGAGCCUCUGGAAUUAACCUCAGGUAGCCACUCAGGCCAGGCAGGGGAGAGACCCUGGGCCUCCCUUCCAGCAGGGACCUUCCUUCCCAUGCUGCUGUGCCAGCCAGUUCCCACAUGCAGUGCACUUGUUCCUUCCAUUUGGGCUGCCUUUCCCC